GACGAACGCUGGCGGCGUGCUUAACACAUGCAAGUCGAGCGGUAAGGCCCUUUCGGGGGUACACGAGCGGCGAACGGGUGAGUAACACGUGGGUGACCUGCCCUUAGCUCUGGGAUAAGCCUGGGAAACUGGGUCUAAUACCGGAUAUGACUCCAUGACGCAUGUUGUGGGGUGGAAAGCCUUGUGCGGCUAGGGAUGGGCCCGCGGCCUAUCAUCUUGUUGGUGGGGUGAUGGCCUACCAAGGCGACGACGGGUAGCCGGCCUGAGAGGGCGACCGGCCACACUGGGACUGAGACACGGCCCAGACUCCUACGGGAGGCAGCAGUGGGGAAUCUUGCGCAAUGGGCGAAAGCCUGACGCAGCGACGCCGCGUGAGGGAUGACGGCCUCGG
rnacentral:rRNA from 1 species